rnacentral:siRNA from 1 species
UGUGUCAAAGUUCUAGUACCAUU